rnacentral:misc_RNA from 1 species
UUGAUGCGAUAGCUAAUGUGACAUGCAGAUGCGGAACAUUGAGAUUUUGAACGCAAGAUGCGCAUGGAGGGGCGACUUUUCAUGCAUGAGUGUUUGGGGGGUGAAUGACUGGUGGUUGAGUGUUCACUGGUGUGUGACACUUGAAAACUUAACUGGUGACAGUGUGCGACAAACAUAUCUCACACUGACACACACAAUACAUUAAACACCCCCAAAUCAGUCAAGAUUACCCGCUGAACUUAA